AACCUCCGCAAUGUGAGAAAUCGCGACGGGGGGAUCCCAAGUGCCAUUCUUAACGGGAUGGCUUUUCAUUAGUGUAAAGAGCUUUUGGAAUAAGAGCUGGGCAAGACCGGUGCCAGCCGCCGCGGUAACACCGGCAGCUCUAGUGGUAACAAUUUUUAUUGGGCCUAAAGCGUCCGUAGCCGGUUUAAUAAGUCUCUGGUGAAAUCCUGUAGCUUAACUGUGGGAAUUGCUGGAGAUACUAUUAGACUUGAGACCGGGAGAGGUUAGAGGUACUCCCAGGGUAGAGGUGAAAUUCUGUAAUCCUGGGAGGACCGCCUGUUGCGAAGGCGUCUAACUGGAACGGUUCUGACGGUGAGGGACGAAAGUUAGGGGCGCGAACCGGAUUAGAUACCCGGGUAGUCCUAACUGUAAACGAUGCGGACUUGGUGUUGGGGUGGCUUUGAGCUGCUCCAGUGCCGAAGGAAGCUGUUAAGUCCGCCGCCUGGGAAGUACGGUCGCAAGACUGAAACUUAAGGAAGUU
rnacentral:rRNA from 1 species